CCACGUGAUGAAUACAUUGAACAGCUGAAG
rnacentral:piRNA from 1 species